GACGAACGCUGGCGGCGUGCUUAACACAUGCAAGUCGAACGAAGAGCGAUGGAAUCUUGCUUCUAUCAAUCUUAGUGGCGCACGGGUGAGUAACGCGUAAUCAACCUGCCCUUCAGAGGGGGACAACAGUUGGAAACGACUGCUAAUACCCCAUACGAUCCAAUCUCGGCAUCGGGACUGGAUGAAAGGUGGCCUCUAUUUAUAAGCUCUCACUGGAGGAGGGGAUUGCGUCUGAUUAGCUAGUUGGAGGGGUAACGGCCCACCAAGGCGAUGAUCAGUAGCCGGUCUGAGAGGAGGAACGGCCACAUUGGGACUGGGACACGGCCCAGACUCCUACGGGAGGCAGCAGUGGGGGAUUUUCCGCAAUGGACGAAAGUCUGACGGAGCAACGCCGCGUGAGUGAUGACGGCCGUCGGGUUGUAAAGCUCUGUUAAUCGGGACGAAUGGUUCUUGUGCGAAUAGUGCGAGGAUUUGACGGUACCGGAAUAGAAAGCCACGGCUAACUACGUG
rnacentral:rRNA from 1 species